AGCUGUUAUACAGCUGGUAUAAGCAACAUUUGAUUUCUGAAGUGUACAAACCAUCUUUUCAUAUUUUCAAGAUGUAAUUUUACAUUUCUGCAUUUAAAAUCAGUUUGACCAUAAUCUAAACACACGUUUUUAAUCUAUAUACAUGCAUAUGUGACCUUUGUGAACAGAAAUUUGGAUGUAUUAUUUGUGUUUACUUGUAACUUUCUGGUUAUAUACUGCUUAUAUCUGUGGAUUCAAGUUUCUGAUGUGAAAUACCAAUAAAAACUUAGGUCAUGUUCAUUGGUUAUACAUGUUUGAAAUGUUAAC